rnacentral:rRNA from 1 species
UACGUAGGGGGCAAGCGUUAUCCGGAUUUACUGGGUAUAAAGGGAGCGUAGACGGCUGUGCAAGUCUGAAGUGAAAGGCAUGGGCUCAACCUGUGGACUGCUUUGGAAACUGUGCAGCUAGAGUGUCGGAGAGGUAAGUGGAAUUCCUAGUGUAGCGGUGAAAUGCGUAGAUAUUAGGAGGAACACCAGUGGCGAAGGCGGCUUACUGGACGAUGACUGACGUUGAGGCUCGAAAGCGUGGGGAGCAAACAGG